rnacentral:rRNA from 1 species
UACAGAGGUGGCAAGCGUUGUUCGGAAUUACUGGGCGUAAAGGGCGCGUAGGCGGCCUUCUAAGUCAGACGUGAAAUCCCCCGGCUUAACCUGGGAACUGCGUCUGAUACUGGGAGGCUUGAGUAUGGGAGAGGGAUGUAGAAUUCCAGGUGUAGCGGUGAAAUGCGUAGAUAUCCGGAGGAACACCGGUGGCGAAGGCGGCUUCCUGGACCGACACUGACGCUGAGGCGCGAAAGCUAGGGGAGCAAACGGG